rnacentral:RNase_P_RNA from 1 species
UGAGCAGGCCGGAUGACCGCGGGCGCCAGCGCCGAAAGGCGGCGCCUGAGGAAAGUCGGAGCUCCACAGGGCAGAGCGCUGGGUAACGCCCAGUGGGGGUGACCCCAAGGAAAGUGCCACAGAAACAAACCGCCGGUGGAAGGCCGGCAAGGGUGGAAAGGUGAGGUAAGAGCUCACCAGCAGCCAGGCGACUGGCUGGCUAGGUAAACCCCGCUUGGAGCAAGACCGAAUAGGGAAGCGAUGGAGUGGCCCGCUCCGCUUCCGGGUAGGUCGCUUGAGGUGCCGGGCAACCGGCAUCCCAGACAGAUGGUCAUCACCCCUGACGGGGGACAGAACUCCGCUUACAGGCUUGCUCACUGA